GUCCGUGGUGGUGAGACACCAUAUAUGAUAACAAGUGCCUGAUGAGUGAUACCAUACUGUGUGACGAUAAUAAUUAAAGACACUGAACCAUAGAUAAAAGAUAAACUGAACACAACGCUUCGGGAUACGGACGGGCAGUGGCGUUCCGAGUUAAGCUGGUGUGAGUUCGACGACUUGUAAUUUUUCGUCGUUGGUCGCGUGUGCUUUCGAUCGUUACUCUCGUUUGAGAAGACGUGCGGACGCCGCCUGUCCAUACGCCAUUUGACUUCGCGUGUACCGUAUACGGGUGUUUGAUUUACGUCAUUCAUUACUAAUUAUAUUUUACGCAUCUGCGAUUGCCAAGUACGUUAUCGGCAGCGGUGUAGUGGACGGUACAUGACAUGUGCCCGCCUCCUAAGUUUAUAUUAAUGAGUGUACCCCCUUAACAAAAUACGUGGUGUGUAGGUGUAACGAACACCACACGGAGACGUUACACAGGUACACGGACCAUGAAUAAGACGUAUUAUAACGUUACCCAGUAAAUAAUAUUUAUAUUGGCGGCCGUCUAAGGCAUACACAGAUCUAUAUUGAAUACUAUAUAGACAAAUAAAUGAAAUGGUGUGCACUCGUCCAAUAUGCCGUCUACCAUAAGUAUUGCAUCUACCAUAAAUCCAUGUUUGGUUAAUAUGCUAUAUUGCUAUCUACAAAUGAAAAUAGGUGUUUUGUCCAACGGACGUGCGGUAGAUAACAUAAGACUUAAUAACUGGUUAAGUAACCGGAUGGGGUUGGUCAUGGAGUUCUGAUUCCAAUAGUUCAAUGAUGACAUUACAGCAGUCGGGAUAGAAACAUCUGAUACCAAGAAAAUAAACUAUACCUACCAUAAGAAAAGAGUUGGUCAUAUAAGGCAAAAAUAUACAAGAGAAAAAAAACUAAAAUCUAGUGGAAGUGAAGGCAAAAAGAAAGAAUGGAUUCAUCCAUAACAUUUAACAUUUUUGAAGAUACAUCUUGCAACCUUGCAAAUUAUGACACAAUCUUAUCAACUGAAUCUGGUGUAAAAGAAAAAAAAAUUAAAGCUUAACAAAGUGAAAGUUCAAAUAUUACUCGUGAAUUUUUGAAGGAACCUAAAGAGAGUAGACCAAUACCACCAGUUUAACAAGUUCAACCAAAUACAAGAGAAUGAAAUGAAAACGAUACGCUAGAAAAUUUAAAAUUAUUUGAUAAUUGAUGUUAUAUUAUUAUUUUAUAUUAACUAUUAACCGUAUUAAAUAAAAUCAUGACCUGUCAAAAACCAUGAUGGAUACAUGAUAUGCGGGUUACAUUCCUUAAUCUAAUAUAGAACUUGCCCAAAGUAAAAUAUCGAGUAAAAUAUGUUUAUAAAUGUUUGUCUAACAUAUUUUAUUUGCUCUACUAAGCUUGAUGUAAUUCCAUUGUUGCACAUUGAUCAACAACAGAGACCUCAAAUUCAUUAAUUGGUUUUGUGUUAAUUAAGAUAAAAAUUGUAACAUAUAUAAACUUAUGUAACUUAUAUAAAUAUAUCAUAUUCACCAUUUA